rnacentral:rRNA from 1 species
AAACAGUACGUGAAAUUGCUGAAAGGGAAACGCUUGAAGUCAGUCGCGUUGUCCGGAACUCAGCCUUGCUUUUGCUUGGUGCACUUUCCGGAUGACGGGUCAGCAUCGAUUUUGACCGUCGGAAAAGGGCUGGAGUAAUGUGGCACCUCCGGGUGUGUUAUAGACUCUGGUCGCAUACGACGGUUGGGAUCGAGGAACGCAGCGCGCCGCAAGGCAGGGGUUCGCCCACUUUCGCGCUUAGGAUGCUGGCAUAAUGGCUUUAAACGACC